GCCGUCCGAGUUGUAAUCUAGAGAAGUGUUUUCCGUGCUGGAUCGUGUACAAGUCCUUUGGAACAAGGCGUCAUAGAGGGUGAGAAUCCCGUCUACGACACGACCUCCCAGUGCUCUGUGAUACACUCUCAACGAGUCGAGUUGUUUGGGAAUGCAGCUCAAAAUGGGUGGUAAAUUCCAUCUAAAGCUAAAUACAGGCGAAAGACCGAUAGCGAACAAGUACCGUGAGGGAAAGAUGAAAAGCACUUUGGAAAGAGAGUUAAACAGUACGUGAAAUUGUUGAAAGGGAAACGCUUGAAGUCAGUCGCGUCUUCAGAAAUUCAGCCUGGCUUUUGCCGGGUGUACUUUUCUGUGGGACGGGCCAGCAUCAGUUUUGGCCGCCAGAAAAAGGUGGGAGGAAGGUGACACCUCCGGGUGUGUUAUAGCCUCCCGCCGUAUAUGGUGGCUGGGACUGAGGACUGCAGCACGCCUUUAUGGCCGGGGUUCGCCCACGUAACGUGCUUAGGAUGCUGGCGUAAUGGCUUUAAGCGACCCGUCUUGAAACACGGACCAAGGAGUCUAACAUGCCUGCGAGUAUUUGGGUGGCAAACCCAUAUGCGGAAUGAAAGUGAACAGUUGGGACUUCUGUCAUGGAAGGCACCGACGCCCGGACCAGACCUACUGUGACGGAUCCGAGGUAGAGCAUGUAUGUUGGGACCCGAAAGAUGGUGAACUAUGCCUGAGUAGGGUGAAGCCAGAGGAAACUCUGGUGGAGGCUGGUAGCGAUUCU
rnacentral:rRNA from 1 species